AUUUGAAUAAGCUGGCACCUUGACGGUACCUAACCAGAAAGCCACGGCUAACUACGUGCCAGCAGCCGCGGUAAUACGUAGGUGGCAAGCGUUAUCCGGAAUUAUUGGGCGUAAAGCGCGCGCAGGUGGUUUCUUAAGUCUGAUGUGAAAGCCCACGGCUCAACCGUGGAGGGUCAUUGGAAACUGGGAGACUUGAGUGCAGAAGAGGAAAGUGGAAUUCCAUGUGUAGCGGUGAAAUGCGUAGAGAUAUGGAGGAACACCAGUGGCGAAGGCGACUUUCUGGUCUGUAACUGACACUGAGGCGCGAAAGCGUGGGGAGCAAACAGGAUUAGAUACCCUGGUAGUCCACGCCGUAAACGAUGAGUGCUAAGUGUUAGAGGGUUUCCGCCCUUUAGUGCUGAAGUUAACGCAUUAAGCACUCCGCCUGGGGAGUACGGCCGCAGGGCUGAAACUCAAAGGAAUUGACGGGGGCCCGCACAAGCGGUGGAGCUUGUGGUUUAUUUCGAAGCCACGCGAAAAAACCUUACCAGGUCUUGGCCUCCUCUGACACCCCUAAGAAAUGGGCUUCUCCUUCGGGAACAAAAGAAAGGGGGGGCCUGGUUGUCCUCCCUCCCGGCCGGGGAAUGUUGGUUUACCUCCCCCCCCCACCCCCCCCCUUUUUUUUUUUUGCCCUAUUUUUGUUGGGCUCUAAAGGGGACCGGCGGGGCCCAACCGGAGGAGGGGGGGAGGGG
rnacentral:rRNA from 1 species